rnacentral:rRNA from 1 species
GAUGAACGCUGGUGGCGUGCUUAACACAUGCAAGUCGAACGAGGUCCAACCUUCGGGUGAAGACCUAGUGGCGAACGGGUGAGUAACACGUGGGGAACCUGCCCUUCUCUCUGGGAUAACGUCGAGAAAUCGGUGCUAAUACCGGAUACUCCUUGCGGAUCGCAUGGUCUGCUCGGGAAAGCUCCGGCGGAGAUGGAUGGCCCCGCGGCCCAUUAGCUAGUUGGUGAGGUAACGGCCCACCAAGGCGACGAUGGGUAGCCGAGCUGAGAGGCUGAUCGGCCACACUGGGACUGAAACACGGCCCAGACUCCUACGGGAGGCAGAAGUGGGGAAUUUUGCACAAUGGGCGCAAGCCUGAUGCAGCAACGCGGCGUGCGGGAUGAAGGCCUUCGGGUUGUAAACCGCUUUCAGCAGGGACGAAAAUGACGGUACCUGCAGAAGAAGCCCCGGCUAACUACGUGCCAGCAGCCGCAGUAAUAC